CAAAUACUCCCUCCGUUUGGAUUUACUUGUCUAAAAGAUGCAUAAAAAUGGAUGUAUCUAGAACUAAAAUACGUCUAGAUACAUUCUUUUCUUCGAUAAGUAUUUCUGGACGGAGCGAGCAUGAG
rfam:Triticum aestivum genome assembly, contig: Triticum_aestivum_CS42_TGACv1_scaffold_643796_T_3DS-0.124910_1BL-0.094696